rnacentral:rRNA from 1 species
AGCGAACGCUGGCGGCAGGCCUAACACAUGCAAGUCGAACGAAGUCUUCGGACUUAGUGGCGGACGGGUGAGUAACACGUGGGAACGUGCCUUUAGGUUCGGAAUAACUCAGGGAAACUUGUGCUAAUACCGAAUGUGCCCUUCGGGGGAAAGAUUUAUCGCCUUUAGAGCGGCCCGCGUCUGAUUAGCUAGUUGGUGAGGUAAAGGCUCACCAAGGCGACGAUCAGUAGCUGGUCUGAGAGGAUGAUCAGCCACAUUGGGACUGAGACACGGCCCAAACUCCUACGGGAGGCAGCAGUGGGGAAUCUUGCGCAAUGGGCGAAAGCCUGGCGCAGCCAUGCCGCGUGAAUGAUGAAGGUCUUAGGAUUGUAAAAUUCUUUCACCGGGGACGAUAAUGACGGUACCCGGAGAAGAAGCCCCUGCUAACUUCGUGCCAGCCGCCGCCGUAAUAC